rnacentral:misc_RNA from 1 species
GAACGCACCUUGCGCCCUUUGGUAUUCCGAAGGGCAUGCCUGUUUGAGUGUCAUGAAACCUCACCCCACUUGGGUUUUUGCCUGAGCGGUGGUGUAUUGGGUGUUGCCUUGCUAAAGGCUCGCCUUAAAGACAUAAGCACCUUGGAUGUAAUACGUUUCAUCCUUCUGGGUGGCUGAUAACCCCACAUAUUCAUGAUCUGGCCUCAAAUCAGGUAGGGCUACCCGCUGAACUUAAG